ensembl:lncRNA
GCUGCAGAAGUGAGGGUUGGAUCCCUGGCCCAGUGUAGGAUCCGGCAUUGCCGAAGCUGCAUCUGUGGCUCAGACUCAAUUCCUGGCCCAGGAACUUCCACAUACCCCAAGUGUGGCCAUAAAAUUAAAAAAGAGAGAGAGAGAAUGCCACCAUAUGGAGGUUCCCAGGCUAGGGGUCCAAUCGGAGCUACAGCUGCUGGCAUACACCGCAGCCACAGCAACGCCAUACCCAAGCCACGUCUGCAACCUACACCACAGCUCACAGCAAUGCUGGAUCCUUAACCCACUGUUUGGAGAAAGAGUGGAUUAAACCCUUACUACUCAAUGUGUGGUGCCUGGCCCAGCAGUAUCAGCCACAGUUGGGGACGUGGAAACGCAGAAUCUCAGACCUACUGAAUCAGAUUCUACAUUGUGACAGGUGAACCAUGUCCAAACUAAAUUUGGGGAAGAACUGGCUUCCUCUUGAGCCAAGUUGGGUCAACCUCCACUUGACCAGAAGCCACAGGCGCCCUAUAAAAAGGUGCCAUUGAAUAAGUUUCUGAGGUUAGGGACUUCCCUGGAUCUCUGCUCCCACCCUCCACUUUAAACAGCUCAUUUUUGCUUCUCGGGUUUCUAUUCAGCUGCCUCAGGCCCUCGCUCAGGCCUGCCCUGCAGCCUUACAAGAGAGUUGGCCGGCUUUUGGUUCCACUUACUGAAGGAAGGGGCCCCUCCGAGCGCCUCGCUCACAUUCCCACUCCGUCGGUAGCAACGGGCAUCCUCUCAGUUCUGGAGACCAAGUUUCAGAUAUAGCUCUGCCCUCAUUUGCCUUUAAGGGGGCACCAGCAAUUUAGUGCUCUUGAUCUGGUCUGCAUAGUUCCAUGUGCCCACAGAGAUCUAUUACUAGGUACUCAUGCAAAACAUACAGUAUUGCCAAGGUGGCUUUUUAAAGGUUUAGCUUCCAGCUAUAAUAAUUACUCAGGGGUUUAUGUCUUCUUUAAUCUAGGCGGACUGCCUUCUCUCUUUAUAGUUAAUUUCACAAAACAAGGAAAACAACAGUUGUAUAUGAUAUUACAGAAUGAAAGAUGAAGUUGAGCCUAAUUAAUGCAGGCUUUGCUUCAAUAACAGCUUUUUUCCCAAUAAACAGUGUGUGACAUUUUCAUUAACCUAGAUACAAACUCCCGCACAAAUAUUCGUUCAUGAAAUAACAUGAAAACACCACAUUUAGAAUCUCUUGCUCUUCUCUUUCAAGACCCACAUGAUUUCAGAUGCUGUCACUUGUCAUGGUUUUAUGAUUACUGAAAAUUACCAGUUAUAAGUCUUACUAUUUGCAGACCCUGUGCUACAUAUCCAUACAUUCUCAACUCAUGGAUGCUCAUGGGAAUUCUGUGGGAUUUGUGCUACUGUAACACUGGUUCUACAGAUGGGGAAAUGGAGACUUGGAAAGGCUAAGUGACACCACCAGUGAGUGAUGGAGACAAGUUUCUUUUUAUCCUUUUUCUUUUUUUUUUGCUUUUUAGGGCCACGCUCCUGGCAUUAGGAGGUUCCCAGACUAGGGGUCCAAUCGGAGCUACAGCUGCUGGCAUACACCGAAACCACAGAAACGCCAUACCCAACCCGCGCCUGCAACCUACACCAUGGCUCACGGCAAUGCCGGAUCCUUAACCCACUGAGCAAGGUCGCAGAUGUGGUUCGGAUCCAGUGUUGCCAUGGCCGUGGCGUAGGGUGGCAGCUGCAGCUCUGAUUUGACCCCUAGCCCAGGAAUUCCAUAUGCCUCAGGUGCAGCCCUGAAAAGAAUGGAAAAGACAAGACAAGAAAGAAAAGAAAAAAGAAAAGACAAUAGCAACAACAAGAACAAAAAACUCAGAAAGUGCCCUUCCCACUUGCUGGCCCCCAUCUGUAAAACAGAAACAGAAACUCCUUGUCUUUAGGUAAAAACUACAGAGCAACGCUUUUAGUAUGCCAGGUUUUAAAAGGAACAAAAGCUGUAAGAAAAUAAAUAUCCUAAGGCCCACGCUAAAUGCAUAACCUUUUAAUUUGAAUAUCUUUUAUAUAUGGAUGAAUAUUCAUCACUCAAUAUUUAUUACUGCCUCAAUAUUUAUUACUGUCUCUCCACAUAUUUCUCCAUCUGUCUUAGGUUGUCAAGCUGGAUAAGGCAGGGGCCAAAUCGAGUUAGUUCUUUUUGUAAAGCAUGUGAAAUUGGCAUGCAUAAUUAAGCACUUAAAUGGGGUUUGAGGAAGAUGAUUAUGAAGAAUGAGAACAGUUAAUACCACGGCAGGCAUGUUUCCUGAAAUCUUCCUGUCUUUCUGAAGUGUCAGAUGAUCACACGCUCACAGAGCUGCAGAGCUCACGAAAGCCUGGGCUUAGAGAUCAUGCCGAGCAAGCCAAAUGCCAUGUGGUCUGUGGCGAGGCACCCACAGCAGAAGCAGCGCCCGGAAGCUCGCCUGCAAGGCCAGCCUCAGGCCUCACCCCAGACCUAGUAAAUCAACAGGUGCCAUUUCAC